rnacentral:rRNA from 1 species
GGAGUUAGCCGGUGCUUCUUCUGUGAGUGAUGUCCUUCCUGCCGGCUAUUAACCCGCAGGCCUUCUUCCUCACUGAAAGUGCUUUACAACCCGAAGGCCUUCUUCACACACGCGGCAUGGCUGGAUCAGGGUUGCCCCCAUUGUCCAAUAUUCCCCACUGCUGCCUCCCGUAGGAGUCUGGGCCGUGUCUCAGUCCCAGUGUGGCUGAUCAUCCUCUCAGACCAGCUACGGAUCGUCGCCUUGGUGAGCCGUUACCUCACCAACCAGCUAAUCCGACAUAGGCUCAUCCGAUAGCGCGAGGCCCGAAGGUCCCCCGNUUUCCCCCGUAGGGCGUAUGCGGUAUUAGCCUGGGUUUCCCCCAGGUUAUCCCCCACUACCGGGCAGAUUCCUAUGCAUUACUCACCCGUCCGCCGCUCGCCACCAGGGAGCAAGCUCCCCGUGCUGCCGCUCGACUUGCAUGUGUUAGGCCUGCCGCCAGCGUUCAAUCUGAGCCAUAAUCAAACUCUGA